CAACUUAAGCGACGAAAUCUUUAUGGUUUUUGUCGCUUAGGUUUGUUUAAAUUUAGGCCAAAAUUUGAGCGGCCUGCCAAAUAUUUGGGCCAAAGCGACAAAUUGUUUGUUUGUCGUCGCUUAAGUGGAUUAAAAAUUUUUCUUACCGCCAAAGAAUAUACGUUUUAAAGCGACGAAAAUGACAAAAUUCGUCGCUUAAGUUGUAAAAUCAUUUAUAUUUCACUUUCUUUCUGCUAAUUAAUACUCAUAAAGUGUGAUAUAAAACAGAUAACGAUAAAGAUUGAAGAGCAAAUCGAUCGAAACAAGUCUAAACCCGGUUUGCUCUAUAUUUGGUGUUUGGUGUCUGAUUGACUAUUAUGAUACCUUUCUGGAAGCGGAACGGCCCAACGAACCAAACUCGUCGCUUUGCCACGACAUAUGGGCUUUUUAGGCCAUCCGAGUCCGUUUAGGCCUUCAAAAUGCAAAUUUACUUAUUUUUAUACAUUAAUUUUAAUAGUUUUUUUAUAUUUGGUUUUCUUUUAAUCUAUGAGCGUUUAGGCUUUGAUGUUAGUUGCCCUAGGGUUUAUUUGCUCCUAUAUAAUGAGCUUUUAUCAGUUGUAGUCAUCAGUUUUCAUAUUAGCAAAAAAUAUUGUCGACUAAAGUGGUAUAUGAACUAAACAUAUUGAAGCUCGAAGUUGAAAAUAAAAGAAGUACAAAUAGAAAAUUUAAUCGUAUGAUAUGAUCACUAUACUUCAAUACGG
rnacentral:lncRNA from 1 species